GAAAUGCGAUAUGUAAUGUGAAUUGCAGAAUCUGUGAGUCAUCGAGUCCUUGAACGCACAUUGCGCCUAAAGGAUAACAAACUUUGGGCACGUCUGUUUCAGUGUCGUUUUUUUCAGGUAAUCUCAUUUUUCCUUUGCUAGCGCAAAGGAGAAGUGGAUAGUUGACUGUUGACUUUGUACCACGCAAGUCAUCAGUUGAAAUGCAAAAUGAGGUGGUCAAUCCUUUGCAAUGCAGCCUUCUUUGCUGGUGAUUAAACGCAGGCGCUGUAAUUGGCAAAGGCGUUGGCAAUCAACCCCCCAGGAGUUUGCGUAAAGCAAGACAAUUCCAAAGGCGACCUGAAAUCAGGCGAGGUUACCCGCUGAACUUAA
rnacentral:misc_RNA from 1 species